rnacentral:rRNA from 1 species
UGGGUGAUCUGCCCUGCACUCUGGGAUAAGCCUGGGAAACUGGGUCUAAUACCGGAUAGGACCAUGCUUUAGUGUGUGUGGUGGAAAGUUUUUCGGUGUAGGAUGAGCCCGCGGCCUAUCAGCUUGUUGGUGGGGUAAUGGCCUACCAAGGCGGCGACGGGUAGCCGGACUGAGAGGUUGGUCGGCCACAUUGGGACUGAGAUACGGCCCAG